rnacentral:lncRNA from 1 species
GCAAGUUUCUCCAAGCCAUAGGCAUCUUGAGGCUAAAAGGUAUGCAUCAUUAGUUAGCAUUUUUUUUACCAUAGUAGCUAAAGUAACUGAUAAUUAACACAGAAGCAUGAAUCAAUCUGGAUGGUUAAAAACCUCUGCAGGCCAGGCAUCUGACUCCUUCAAGCUAACUACAGUCUCCAACUGCUUAAAUUCAGGGUAGAUACAGGCGCUUGAUGCAUAAAAGAACCUGCAAGGGAAAAUAUACAGAAAUUACAACACUUUGUUUUAAUACAAAAGCACUAAAUGAAAUUCCGUGCCAUUUUUCAACAACACUCUUGUUUAAUUAUGCAAAGGUUUGAUGCUUAUUUUUAGGUCUCCCAAAUUUGAUGCUUGCCCUGUAUGGUUACAAGGGAGAACAAAUAUGAGAUCCUGUUUGGAAGUUCUUAUUACUAGAUAGGUGGAGAAAAAGGUCAACUAUAGCACAUAAAAGAGGGCACACAUAUGCACUAGCAUCAUCAGCUCAAUGCUCAUCGUAAAGGCCCGCCAAUGCAUGUCAAUCUAGCUAAAAAAAGGCUAUGUGCGGCAUAUGCCCUGCAUAAUAACUGUACUAUAGUACUUUCCUGUAGUGUUGUUUAGUGUCAUCCACUAAACCUAGCUGAAACCACACCAGUUAAGACUUGCCCUAUGUGGGCUUGUGGGCCGAUUUGAACCCUUUGCAUUGUAUCCGCAUAAAUGAUUCUGCUUUGAGAUGCCGGUGCAGAUGCACGCAUAGCAACUGCAAUAAAUUUCCACAGUAUGGUAGUUAAUGUAGAGCAUUUGUUCCUCAAAUCUAGGAAUCUAGCAACUGCACUUGAAGGUUAUCUCAUUUAACUAAUUUAGUGUCUGCAUACCUUAACAGUUAAAAUCCAGCUUCACAAGGGUGAUUAAAACAUGAUAAACAAAGAGCCACCAGCAGGCAGGUAGUUACCUCUUGACGCCAUUGAUUCUAGCAGCCUCGAGCAUGUUAAAGCUGAUCAUAGUGUUGUUAUACAUGAUGACAGAGUGGUUGGACUGGAUGAACCCCAUCCCUCCCAUAUCAGCAGCAAGGUUAAACACAUGGUCAACCCCCGUGGUCACCUUGAGGCAGUUGUCCAUGACCCUCAGGUCAAUGAGGUGGAACUCAUGGCAGAACAUUUCCUCGGUCAUGUGCUCGUUCUUCUUCCAGUCAGAGGCGAUGAUGUAGUGGCCCUCGCUCAUGAGGCGCCUAGCGAUGUGGGAGGCGAUGAACCCGCCAGCGCCCGUGAUGGAGAUCCGCAGCUUCUCAAACGGCCAGUAUGGCUCCUUCUCCAGCUCCGCGUACGUGUACUCCUUGUUGAGCGCCAUCCUGCACAAGCCAAAGGUCAAGAUUUAGGAUGAAAAGCUACUCAUACAGAAUCAAUUAUGACCUCCUAUGGCUCAUGGGCCAUCAGCACGACCCCCAAUCUUUCUAGGAAAACAAACUUCCAAUGUUCUUCUCGGAACACAGGGGCCAAAGACCCGGUUCCGUUCCCGCUAAAACAAAACAGAAGUAUGAAAAUGACCCACAGCAGCCAUGCUCUUUACAGCGGUUAUAUCAACUAACAUAGUCGACUCUAUUCAUAGGAUUAACCAACAGUCAGUAGCGCCCACUGCUGAACAAGUAGUGUUGCACCUGCACAAGUUCAUACUAGCAACUAAAAACACCCCCUAAUACGUCCUAUGGGUCAACGUUUAUCAAUCUUGCGCAAUGGACAUGAACAAAGAUUCGGAUCUGAUUGGUCUCGGCGAAGGAUUCAACUCCUACAGCAAUAGAAUCCAUACAACCAGGCAAGCAAGCCGGGGUUCCUCUCAAAACCAAGAAUAGGAGGGCGCCGGCCUUCCAGGACACACGAAUCCGACCCGCGGCACUCGGCGCCGACGAGGUCCCCCGGCGACGGCUUCGAGCGAGGCAACCAAUGCCAACGCACGAGCGCGCCACCCUGAGCCAAGCCCCCAAUCCUAGAACCGCUGCAGGGAAAUUUCCCCCAAAAAGAAAGGAAAAGAUGCCAUCUUUACCUGGCAAACGAGGGUGGUAGCCGCGCCGGAGCGAGAUUCGAGAGCGGAGGAAGGAGAUAGGAGCAGCUC